AUUGAUUUCAGAGGUCAGAGAAUAAAACAUGAUUCUCAUAAGGAGUAUGCUGCCUACAACUCUGCAUUGGUGAAAACUAUUAAGGGUGCAACAACUGGUUUAAUUUCUGGCACCCUCUGGGUACUGUUGUUGCCACCUGGAAUCAUGUUCCUCGUGUUGAGAGAAACGUUGCUCUUCCAGGCCUCAUAAGAACUUUCAAGAUGAUGGGCAACUAUGCAUUGACCUUUGUUGCCAUAGGAGGAGUCUACAUUGGUGUUAAGCAGUUGGUGCAGAACGCUAGGAUGAAGAGGGAUCUUGUCAAUGGUGCUGUAGGUGUGCAACUGUUCUGGGUUACAAAGAUGGUUGGUCAGUUAAUGUGUCUGCAAAUACUGGCACUGGAAGAAGUCAAUAUGUGAAUGCUGGAGAACUAAGUGGCAGCACUUCUUCACAUACUUAACAAGCUGAUAAACAUAGGGGUGUUAGCUUUAAUACUGAUUUGAGACAUAGUGAUCUUAUAGCCUAUAUAAACAUUGUGGGAGCAUAGAACUAAGAUAUAUCUUUUCCUAUGUAAAUUCUCUUGCCGGUACAUAUUUAUUUGUCACAAUCGGCCAAAACCAAACCCACAUUUAGUAUUUUGAAUGUUGCUUUUUGUGCUUCAUUUACGGAGUGUUAUUGGUUGGUUUGUCCAAAUUAGCUACAGGUGAUUCUGUUGGAUACUAUCAGACAUGUAGAAUCAGUUCAUUAAUUUUUAUUAAUUUUUUGCAGUAUUGUAAAUUUAUUGACAGAAUUACUUAUUCAA